UUCCCCAGGCCAGGAAGCGGUAGGCAGGGGCCAGGGAUGGAUUUUAAAGGUAAAGUUCUCAGACCCAAUGGGAACAUGAACUGGUAAACUCUCCUCAACUCCCAAAGAAAAAGGACUUGGGUCUUUGUUGGUUUCUGCCCACAGCCAGAGAACUCAAAGUCUGAAACUAGAUUCUCUCGAAAAGACAGUCACAGAAACCUUCAGAGAUGGAGUGUGAGAAAAGCCCACCCUUCUGCCAGCCUGUGAUUUAGAAAGGUGCCUUCAUUCAACAGACAUUGACUGAGCACAUACGGGCCAGAGACGGUUCUUAACAGCGGGAGAAUAGGACGGAAAAGGCAGACAGGAACCCUCAGUCCCGAGGUUUCCAUUCUAGUGGGCCUUUAACUCUCCGACUCUCAGAGCUAACAGACACCUCUGAUACUCUCUAACUCUACCUCAGGAAACGCAAGCCGAGAAGGAGACUUUACAGUAGGCCGUGGACUAGGGAUUAACAUAAAAACAACAAUGAUAAAUCUCAUUUAAACUUCACCAAUGGAGGUAAAACCAAACCACUCCUAUUUUACAGAUGUGAGAAGAGAGGCCCAAAGAGCUCAAGGAAUUUGCCCUCUAUCAUAUCCCCAGCAGAUGGAGAGGAUUCAAACCCAGAAUUCUUAAGCAGUGCCUGGGAGUUCUUCCACAAUCUUAACAAUUACCCUCCACCACCCCUUGGGCCCUCUGUCCCCAGGAGCCUGGCCAGCCAAGACUCACAUCCUCAGUGUUCCACAGCUGCUCCACGUAAUCUGCCCAAGACUUCGGCUGCAUUCAGUUGAACACACAGGAGGAAACUUCACUCCCCAGCCGACCACACAAAGAUCCGUUCUCAUCCCCAGGGCAGCUGCUCUGGCCACUCCACCCGCGCCCUGGAUGGCUCCAGUUGCUGUGAGCGCGACCACCCGCCGCGUGAUUAAGAGCGCUCCGGGCCGGGCAGUCUCCCGUGGGAGUGGGGGCGUGGGUGAGUGCGACGGAAAUCCCGCCUUCCGGCGCCCGCGCUUGACCCUGGCCUCAGACGGUGAGCUCCAAGUAGGAAGAUGAGCG
rnacentral:lncRNA from 1 species